rnacentral:tmRNA from 1 species
GGGGGUGAAUUGGAUUCGACGUGAGUCGCAAAGCUCUAAGUGCAUGCCGAGGAACAGAUCACCUCGUAAAUCCAGCUGUAAAACUUAUAGUUGCCAACAACGACAACUACGCACUAGCUGCUUAAAAAGCUGCCUAGCGCCCUCUGGCCAGAUGUGCUUGUGCGCCUGGAUCGCAGGGGUCACCUACACAAGACCGCGGUAAAGAUCUGUUCAGUGUCUAUGCCGUUAAAUAUUGCUGAACUGGCCAUGAGUCUUCCCUGCCCGUCGGGUAGCUCAUGGUAAGACUAAAGGCGGAAUAAGCAUGUAGAUCUCAGGGUGGAGGGCUUACGGACCCGGGUUCGAAACCCGGCACCUCCACCA